GUGGCCGAGUGGUUAAAGGCAGCAGACUGUAAAUCUGCCGACAUUGUCUACGUUGGUUCAAAUUCAACCCUGUGCACCA
rnacentral:tRNA from 1 species